GCCCGCUCAGAAACUCAAAGGAAGUUGACGGGGCCCGGCACAAGCGGUGGAGUAUGUGGUUUAAUUCGAUGCAACGCGAAGAACCUUACCUGGUCUUGACAUCCCGGAGACCCUUAGGAAACUAGGGGGUGCUUCCAUCUGGAAGAAUCUGGAGACAGGUGCUGCAUGGCUGUCGUCAGCUCGUGUCGUGAGAUGUUGGGUUAAGUCCCGCAACGAGCGCAACCCUUGCCUUUAGUUGCCAGCAGUUCGGCUGGGCACUCUAAAGGGACUGCCGGUGUUAAACCGGAGGAAGGUGGGGAUGACGUCAAGUCCUCAUGGCCUUUAUGACCAGGGCUACACACGUACUACAAUGGCCGAUACAAAGGGCAGCGACACUGCGAGGUGAAGCCAAUCCCGUAAAAUCGGUCUCAGUCCGGAUUGGAGUCUGCAACUCGACUCCAUGAAGUUGGAAUCGCUAGUAAUCGUGGAUCAGCAUGCCACGGUGAAUACGUUCCCGGGCCUU
rnacentral:rRNA from 1 species